ACGGCCCGCCGCUAUUAUUAUUAGCGGCGGGUAAUUACUGUUAUUAGCCGCGGACUACCCGCCGCUAAUAAUAAUAUUAGCCGCGGGGACUAAUAAUAGCGGUGGGCCCCGCCGCUAAUGCUCUUGAGCAGUUUAAAUUUUCCAUGCAUCCCUUCUUCUUCCCUCGCGUCUCUCAUCCCUUCUUCAACCGUUCUCUCUUCUUCAUCUCCAACGAUUCUUCACAGUUGCAGAGAAAAACAUCCGAGACAAGUUCAGGGCUCUCUGCUCGCACUGCAAUCUGAUUCUCUCUGGUUUAGCUGCUUUCUACAAAGGACAGCGACACACCCACGACCCCGACACACACACGACCUUGGCACACCCUCAACAGGUGUGGAUAUAUUUUUUGUAAUUAAUAUCUUUUGUAUUUUUUGAAUAAUUUAUUUUGUAUUUGUUUAGUGUAUAAUAUUUGAGUUUUGAGUCCUUUAGUUAGUAUCCUUGGUAUGUAAAUCUUGACAUCUAUUGUUAAGAUAUAUGUGUUUGUUCUUACUUUAUUUUUUAAUCUUGGUAUGUAAAUAAUUAUAGGACUGUUUUGGUUAAAAAUAAAAUUUAAGUGAUAAUUUAAAUUAAUUUAUAAAAUAUAAUAAUAGAUGAUUUAUUAUUAAGUAAAAUAUAGUGUUUUUGUUAAUAUUGAAUAAAGAAGAUUUAAACUUGAUCAAUCAGAUUAU